rnacentral:lncRNA from 10 species
AUUCUUUAUGGCCUUGCUGUGAUUUGCUCCUUCUACCGGAUCCCUAUGGGUCACUGAGUAGGUGCUGGGCCACUCAAGGGGCUGUGGGAAGACUGAUGAGAGGCAUUGCUCAGCCUCUCAGAGCAAAGUGGAGCUACAGGCAUGGCCAUAGGCAAGCAUGCUGUCCCCAGCCACUAAGGGACAGAGCAGCAAGCCUCAGACAGACCUGAGAAGAGGGGGCAUGAUGGGCUGAAUCGUGACCCCCAAAAGAUGUUGAAGCCCUAAUCUCCAGUACCUGUGAAUAAGAUCUUGUUUGGAAAUAGUCUUUGCAAAUGAUCAAUUUAAGAUAAGACCAUUAGGGUGGGAUCUAAUCCAAUAUUACCACUAUCCUUACAAAAAGAGGAAAUUUGGACACAGAGCCAGACACAUGGAGGGAAGAUGAUUUCAAGACAUAGGAAGAAGAUGACCACCUUCAAGCCAAGGAAUGCCCAAGGCUACCAGAAGCCAGAAAAGAGGCCAGGAACAGAUUCUUCUUCAUUGCUGUCAGAAGGAACCAACCCUGCUAGCACCUUGAUCUUGGACUUCCAGCCUCAGAAAAGAGGCCAGGAACAGAUUCUUCUUCAUUGCUGUCAGAAGGAACCAACCCUGCUAGCACCUUGAUCUUGGACUUCCAGCCUCAGAAAAGAGGCCAGGAACAGAUUCUUCUUCAUUGCUGUCAGAAGGAACCAACCCUGCUAGCACCUUGAUCUUGGACUUCCAGCCUCAGAACUGUGUGACAAUGAAUGUCCAUUAUCUGAGACACUCUCUCAGUGUCCUUUGUCACAGCAACCCCAGGGAACUCAUACAGGAGGCAAGUGGCUUCCCCCACCAUAGCUCUGUGGUCUCCUGGGUGGGACCUGCUGUGUUGCUCUCAGAGGCUGCUUAAAAACAGCUGGCCCUGGGCCACUCUGCUGGGGCUCCUGCUUGAAGGAAGGACAGAACUUCAGGUGUAUUUAUAUGAAAUAUACAAUUACUAUACCCUCUCCAAGAAAGCACUUAAUAGAUGACCACUCCAGAAAAAGAAUUUCCUGGAAUGUUUGCUAAAAUGAAGACUCCCAGAGGCCUCCACAGAUCUACAGAAUAAGAAUCUCUCAUGAUGGGACUCAGAAAUCUCCAAUCAAUCAUCCACCCUCCUCCUCCCUACCCCAGGAUACUGAUGCAGACAGCCUGGCCACCCCUUUUGGAGAAACACGAUUGCAGAUGACUGAUUAAAUUGUAUGGCUUUACCUCUCUUAUAUAUGCAUUUUGGGAAGCAAUACAAUUUCUGCAGGUUAAAGCCAAAGGAAUGAUGAUCUAGCUGUGAAAUGUUAGACUUCGUUGAGUUGGGUGGUGGAGACACCUCCUCAACUAGCUCUUCAGCCUAGGCUGGGCUCGUUCCUCCAGUAAAUGGCCAACAAGGAACAACAGGUGCCCAAACUGUAUGAAAUUUAAGGAAGGAAAUUUUACAGUGAAAAAUUGAGACCCAUCGAUUUUGUUUUUCUGUACAUUGAUAAAUUUAUAUCUAGUGAAAGGACAUCUCAUACCUAUUCCAGACUUGGAAAGGAGAGAGCAUGAAUUCAAGCACAAAACGGGGGUGAGUUUCCAGGAGGUGAAGAGCUGGAGACCAAGCAUUGUCCUACUUUGCAGCAGAGGACAGACCACCCCUUUAUCUCUGGGCACUGAUUCAUACAGUACCCCUGCAUGACCUCUCCAUUGCAAUAUGGCUAGAUGGUAUGCUGCCACAUUGGCCUGAAGUUUACAGCAAUGUCAGCACUGCCACUGCGAUCUAGGACUGAUCCUUCGACAAAAUUAGAAUCUCCCAAGAAGGUGUGGAGAGGGAGCCAACUACCACUGAAUAACAUGAGAGGCGUCACACAGG